AUGAAACUUGCUGAAUGCCAAGUGAAAUCAGGUAUCAAUUUGAAAUGAGUGUUACAGCAAAAUAGCGCCAAGUGAAACAGAGUUAAGCAUGGACUGGUUGUAUAUCU